AAAACAGAAGUAACUUAUACACUUGGCUUCGACCCAAUUUACGGCUGCGGCCCUGUUUUG
rnacentral:tRNA from 1 species